rnacentral:tRNA from 1 species
AGUUAAUAAGCUCCCAAAUUAAGCACUGUGUCUUGAAAACACAAGAUUAGAAGUUUAAUUCUUCUAUUAACUU